AACUGGUGCACAGUUAAUAUAGCAUAAGGUGCAACGUGGGGAUGCACAACAUAAUAUGAUAUGUACACGGCGUGACGGCGGACAACUAAGGUAAAACAUGGGAAAUAGAAAGCUGGAGAGACGAAUUGUGUUGCUACCGGAAAGCUUGUAAUAUGAUUCUAUCCGGCUUCACCAUCACCGAAAACUGAAUCUGAGACGCCUACGUGAAACCGGAUCUGAAAUCGCUUCAUAUACAUCUUGCUACCCCGUCAGAAAACGGUAGUAAUCGCCAGAAUACCUUAACCGGAAAAUAGAUAAAUCAUUGCAUGUCGUCUAAAUCUCUGCCCCGCUCUUCGGUUCUCAUAAAAGCACCACAAUCGGCUGAGAAGAUGACUCCCUCUCCACUUCCCCCACUUCAGAUUUUAGAUCUGAAACCAAGAAACGUUGGUGACGAACAUCAAAAUGGUGAUGAUGGCUGGAGUGUAGCCGCGUGGAACGACUUUCGUUAACGCCGGUAAAUUUCCUACUGUACACGGAACAUUUUUGGUGAGCUGAUUGCAGCUAAGAUCAAGAGUUUGAAGUCCGAUAAACUCACCUAACAUGGUUCGUUAUUUUACCGGAUAUAAAGUUCCGACUUAUGGAUAAAAACCCAAGGCUUUUCAGCUUCGAUAAUGUCGUUGAAAUGGUAUUGGGGAUUGGGAAUGUAACUCUGUGGGUUUUUUAGAAAAUAAUUUCAAAAGAUAACAAAAAGUCAAAGCUAUGAUGGGCCUUUAAUUUGUUUAAACAUUGUUGUUAAUGGUCAAAUGAUUGUGGGCCGUUAGGUUUAACUAGGCCAGAUUUAAUAGAAAUCAAUUAUGGGCUGUGGAUGACUUUGGACUGAAAAUGUAAGAACGACCCAGUCUAUCUUUAAUUAAAUAGUUAUAAGGAUAAAUUACACUUUUCAUCCUUUAUAUUUAUAGCGGGUGGCAAUAGAUGACCUUUAACUUCGAUAAUUACAGUCACAGUUCUUUAUUUGCAAAACCCGUUACAUUUUACGUCCUUUGACCCUAACCUGGUUAAAAAUUUCAGUUAAGUGAGAUUAUGUGCAACCCAUAUGAGGGCAAAACAGUCAUUUAAUAAAUGAAUGUCAAAAUUAAAAAAAAUCUUUAAACCUAAACCAUCAUCUUCAUCAUCUCCCCCUGUACACUCAGAUAUGAUAAAAGAUCAAGAUCAGCCCCUCACAUCCACCAAAUCUGAGACGGCUGUUUAAAAUGUCUGUUGAAAAAAAAAAAAAAAAAAACCUCAACCUCUCUCUCUUAAUCUGAACCCAAAUCUUAUGAACAUCAGAUCUGGAUCUAAUCUCUGAUACAAAACCCAUUUUUACCCAACCAAACCCUAAAAUCACUACCAACACACUCCCAAUGUCUUCUUCCAUACUCUCAAAACCUGCAACUCAUUUGGUAUGGUGGUCGGAUUUUGGAGUCAAAGAGACGAAUCAGUCGAAGAAUCGAGUGAAAGAGAAGAAGAACUACUCUGAAAUAGACAAACAGCCGUCUCAGGUGUCAAUCGGCGCAUGAACAAGGACGAUCUCUUCGACCACUGCUCUAGAACCGCCCCCGCUUCGAUGGUGGUGGUGGUGGUGGUUGGUGGAAGUUAUAGAGAUAAAGUUGAGAUAGAGAGCUGGUGGGGUGGUGUAGUUGUGUUUGAUUCAGAUUUCUAGACUAUCGAUUUGGAUUUUUACUUGAAAUUUGUAAAUAGAUUGAAGAAUUUGAAAUGAACUAGCAUUAAUUUUGUUCAUGAGGUUUUUGUA